CGGGAUUACAGGCUGAACCACCGAGCCCGGCUGAGCCCUGGAGUUCUAAACUGUAGUAUGUUAUGUAGAUAUCGGGUAUCCACUCUAGCACUAAGCUUAGCAUCAAUAUGGUGACCUCCUGGGAGUGGGGAACCACCAGGCUGCCUAAGGUGGGAUGAAUCAGCCCAGGUUGAAAAUGGAGCGGGUCAAAACUCUCAUGAUCGAUAGUGGAAUAAUGCCUGUGAAUAGUCUCUGCACUCCAGCCUAGGCAAAACAGA
rnacentral:sRNA from 1 species